CGGAGGAGGCCGCCGAAUGAUGCGGAGCAUCAUUUUGCAUGCGGCCGACGAACUGCCGCCGAGGCUAAGCCGAGGGGGCGACACCAUCG
rnacentral:sRNA from 12 species